GACGAACGCUGGCGGCGUGCUUAACACAUGCAAGUCGAACGGAAAGGCCCUGCUUUUGUGAGGUGCUCGAGUGGCGAACGGGUGAGUAACACGUGAGUAACCUGCCCUUGACUUUGGGAUAACUUCAGGAAACUGGGGCUAAUACCGGAUAGGAGCUCCUGCUGCAUGGUGGGGGUUGGAAAGUUUCGGCGGUUGGGGAUGGACUCGCGGCUUAUCAGCUUGUUGGUGGGGUAGUGGCUUACCAAGGCUUUGACGGGUAGCCGGCCUGAGAGGGUGACCGGCCACAUUGGGACUGAGAUACGGCCCAGACUCCUACGGGAGGCAGCAGUGGGGAAUAUUGCACAAUGGGCGGAAGCCUGAUGCAGCAACGCCGCGUGCGGGAUGACGGCCUUCGGGUUGUAAACCGCUUUCGCCUAUGACGAAGCGUGAGUGACGGUAAUGGGUAAAGAAGCACCGGCUAACUACGUG
rnacentral:rRNA from 1 species